CGAGGACCUUGGUAGGCACCAGCGGUGAUCGGCGGAAUAAGUGUCUGAAAAGAGUUCCAGGGCAUCGCCGCCAUUUUAAUGGUUAAUGAGCGCCACACGACCUCAAUAGGAGGUCGGGUGAUUCGGCAGUUUGUUCGUUUUAUUUGUAUUUGCAUGAAAUCACUACACACAUGCAUAAAUAACCGAAAAGGCCAUUUCUCCUAGUCUGUUUAACAUGGGAUUUCGUUACACAGCUCCCC